AGUUGGAGGGAAUUCACAAACUCCGAGGACGCUGUACAGCUUAACCAAAACGGGAUUGGAUUUACUUCGCGCAGUUAACAGUGUUGUUUCAAAAGUAAUUCUCGAAUUUUUAAAAACCACACUCGGAAAUACCUUUCUGGAUGAGUUGUAGUUGGACAAACAGGAGGGUAAUGAGAGGCUCCAGGAGAUGGUGGGCAGCUGUCCUGCUCUGGGGGGCAGCGCUGAUUGCAGAGGCACGUCCUGGCAAAGAAGGAUUUACCCCGAGGGCGUAUCGACCUCUCGUCAGAUUCCGCCACAAGCAGGACGGGAUCUCAGAGAGCUUACGGAUCAAAGG